rnacentral:sRNA from 1 species
UUGCUGCGGGCAAAUAUAGUGCACGUGGGUAUCGACGCCGCCAGCGGUAAGGAUAUGACCUUCACCGGCGAUGAUUUCAGUACCCGGCCCGAUGACGAUGCUGAUAUCUGGUUGGGUAUCCGGGUUACCGGCUUUGCCGAUGGCCGCGAUGCGACCGUUUUUCAGGCCCACAUCGGCUUUAACUAUGCCCCACCAGUCGAUGAUGAUGGCGUUAGUGAUGACAGUGUCCAUCACAGCGUCGUCGCAACGCUGGCUCUGGCCCAUGCCAUCCC